GACGAACGCUGGCGGCGUGCUUAACACAUGCAAGUCGAACGGAAAGGCCCUGCAUUUUGGGGGUGCUCGAGUGGCGAACGGGUGAGUAACACGUGAGUAACAUGCCCUUGACUUUGGGAUAACUUCAGGAAACUGGGGCUAAUAUCGGAAAGGAGCUCCUGCUGGAUGGUGGGGGUUGGAAAGUUUCGGCGGUAGGGGAUGGACUCGCGGCUUAUCAUCUUGUUGGUGGGGUAGAGGCUUACCAAGGCUUUGACGGGUAGCCGGCCUGAGAGGGUGACCGGCAACAUUGGGACUGAGAUACGGCCCAGACUCCUACGGGAGGCAGCGUUGGGGGAUGUUGCACAAUGGGCGGAAGCCUGAUGCAGCAACGCCGCGUGCGGGAUGACGGCCUUCGGGUUGUAAACCGCGUUCGCCUGUGACGAAGCGUGAGUGACGGUAAUGGGUAAAGAAGCACCGGCUAACUACGUG
rnacentral:rRNA from 1 species